rnacentral:rRNA from 1 species
UGGGGAAUAUUGGACAAUGGGGGGAACCCUGAUCCAGCCAUGCCGCGUGUGUGAAGAAGGCCUUAUGGUUGUAAAGCACUUUAAGCGAGGAGGAGGGUACUGGUAUUAAUACUACCAGCUACUGGACGUUACUCGCAUAAUAAGCACCGGCUAACUCUGUGCCAGCAGCCGCGGUAAUACAGAGGGUGCGAGCGUUAAUCGGAUUUACUGGGCGUAAAGCGUGCGUAGGCGGCUAAUUGAGUCGGAUGUGAAAUCCCCGAGCUUAACUUGGGAAUUGCAUUCGAUACUGGUUAGCUAGAGUGUGGGAGAGGAUGGUAGAAUUCCAGGUGUAGCGGUGAAAUGCGUAGAGAACUGGAGGAAUACCGAUGGCGAAGGCAGCCAUCUGGCCUAACACUGACGCUGAGGUACGAAAGAAUGGGGAGCAAACAGG